AUUCAUGAUCUCCUCUUAAUUUACACUAGUGUAGUUACCCGCGCGAUGCGGCAGGCAGGUAUUAUCAGAGUAUUAGAUUUUUAAUCCAAUCCAACUCAUCUUAAACAGAAAUUAUCAAAUAAUUCCAAAAAAUACUGUAAAAUAGGUUAAAAAAAUAGAAAAUAAGAAGAGAGAGAGAAAAACAAAGAAAAGAUAGAGAAACUCUCACUUAAUAUUGGUCUCUAAGAGGGCGAGACUUGCUAUUGUUUUUACUGCCGCCUCGAUCUCCACUGUCAUUGCCCACGCUUUCUUCCGCAGUCGUCUUAAUCUCCACUGCCAUCACAUUCACCGCCUCUGCCACCGCUAUGACCUGAAGCAUCGCCUACGCCUCAGGCUAAAUGAGAAGAGGAUAAUACAUCAAAAUUAGAAAUAAAAAAAAAAAAAAGUAAAUAGAUCCCACACCUCUUGUUAAAUGAAGGAGGUUGUAAUUUAUUAUAAGAAACAAAAUAGACUUUCAUUUUCAUGACAUGCGUAGGAGAAAAUGAGGCUUUUGCAUGAGUUUUUAUGGUUUACGAUUAUAUUAGGGUUAAAAUGAGUGGAUAAAUUAAUUAGACGUUAUAUGCGGAGGGAAGGCAAAGGGUUGGGCCUUUUGGAUGGGUUUCUAAAUUUACGGUUUAGAUAGGGUUAAAUUAGGCGUUAUAUGUGGAGGGAAGGCGAAAGGCUAGUUUCAUAAAAUAAAAGUCCAAGAGUAAAGAAUUUGAUAUUUAAUGUCACUAUUGCUUAGUGGUUCAAUGAAUCUACAUCGUCCAUAUUAAACGGAAUGAAUUUAUUAGCAAUAAACUCAAGUAGCAGGUAAAUAGAGAGAGUUAAUUAUUUUGUUAAUUUGAUAUUUAGAUUGAGAAAGUAGUUUCAUUUAUUUAUUUAUUUAUGAGAUGAAGGGAUGAAGGGUGACUUGCCACGUGGCAAGAAAUAUUGUGCUUUCAUUUAGGUUUAUAGAUUUCUACUAAUCUUUAAUGUGAUG
rnacentral:lncRNA from 1 species